ACCGGAAGGUUACUAAGACUGGAUAGGAAACAAAAAGGCAUCUUUUUGUUUUUAAAAGACCUUCUUACGAAGGUAUGCUUAAAGAGGGGCUUGCGCCACAUUAGUUAGUUGGUAGAGUAAAAGCCUACCAAGACGAUGAUGUGUAGCUGGACUGAGAGGUUGAACAGCCACAUUGGGACUGAGACACGGCCCAAACUCCUACGGGAGGCAGCAGUAGGGAAUUUUCGGCAAUGGAGGAAACUCUGACCGAGCAACGCCGCGUGAACGAUGAAGUAUUUCGGUAUGUAAAGUUCUUUUAUUGAAGAAGAAAAAGUAGUGGAAAAACUAUAUUGACGUUAUUCAAUGAAUAAGCCCCGGCUAACUAUGUGCCAGCAGCCGCGGUAAGACAUAGGGGGCGAGCGUUAUCCGGAAUUAUUGGGCGUAAAGGGUGCGUAGGCUGUUAGAUAAGUCUAUAAUUUAAUUUCAGUGCUUAACGCUGUCUUGUUAUAGAAACUGUCUUGACUAGAGUGAGAUAGAGGCAAGCGGAAUUCCAUGUGUAGCGGUAAAAUGUGUAAAUAUAUGGAGGAACACCAGAAGCGUAGGCGGCUUGCUGGGUCUUUACUGACGCUGAGGCACGAAAGCGUGGGUAGCAAACAGGAUUAGAUACCCUGGUAGUCCACGCCGUAAACGAUGAGUACUAAGUGUCGGGGUAAAACUCGGUACUGAAGUUAACACAUUAAGUACUCCGCCUGAGUAGUACGUACGCAAGUAUGAAACUUAAAGGAAUUGACGGGACUCCGCACAAGCGGUGGAUCAUGUUGUUUAAUUCGAAGAUACACGAAAAAUCUUACCAGGUCUUGACAUACUCUGCAAAGCUAUAGAAAUAUAGUGGAGGUUAUCAGGGAUACAGGUGGUGCAUGGUUGUCGUCAGUUCGUGUCGUGAGAUGUUAGGUUAAGUCCUAAAACGAACGCAACCCUUGUCGUUAAUUGCCAGCACAUAAUGGUGGGGACUUUAACGAGACUGCCAAUUAAACAUUGGAGGAAGGUGAGGAUUACGUCAAAUCAUCAUGCCCCUUAUGAUCUGGGCUACAAACGUGAUACAAUGGCUGUGACAAAGAGUAGCUGAAACGCGAGUUUUUAGCCAAUCUCAAAAAAGCAGUCUCAGUUCGGAUUGAAGUCUGUAACUCGACUUCAUGAAGUUGGAAUCGCUAGUAAUCGCGAAUCAGCAUGUCGCGGUGAAUACGUUCUCGGGGUUUGUACACACCGCCCGUCA
rnacentral:rRNA from 1 species